GUCAAGCCUAGGGCGGCCACCCGAAAACCGGACUCCUUCUCCGGUUGGCUUGACUCCCCAGUGAAGGG
rnacentral:sRNA from 1 species